GAAGAGGCCCUUUUAAGGGCCAGAAAAUAAAACAAGAUAAAUGUUU
rfam:Stegodyphus mimosarum contig17949, whole genome shotgun sequence.